rnacentral:rRNA from 1 species
CCUACGUGGAGCAGCAGUGAGGAAUAGUGGUCAAUGGACGGAAGUCUGAACCAGCCAUGCCGCGUGCAGGAAGACGGCUCUAUGAGUUGUAAACUGCUUUUGUACAAGGGUAAAACUGAAUACGGGGAUACAGCUGAAAGUAAAGUACGAAUAAGGAUCGGCUAACGCCGUGCUAGCAGCAGCGGUAAGACGGAGGAUCCAAGCGUUAUCCGGAUUGAUUGGGUUUAAAGGGGGCGUAGGCGGGUUGGUAAGUUAGAGGUGAAAUGUCCGCGCUUAACUCGGGAACUGCCUCUUAUACUGUUGGUCUAGUGCGUAGCUGCGGUAGGCGGAAUGUAUGGUGUAGCGGUGCAAUGCUU